rnacentral:rRNA from 1 species
UGCCACAGCCAUAUCAUAUUGCCCACUGAAGCUAAGCAGGGCUGAGCCUGGUCAGUACCUGGAUGGGAGACCUCCUGGGAAAACUAGGUUGCUGCUGGAA